UAUGGAUAUAUAUUUGUUCUAGAAUGUGACUGUGGAUUUUGGUCAGGAGGAUGCCACUAUAACGCAUAUGGUGAAAAAAUUUGCAACUGUAUGACUGAUUACGCUCAAAACAAUGAAAAGUGUGAACGGUGUUAUUGUGGAAGCCAUGCUACAUCGUGCACUUUCAAAAA